AUUGAACGCUGGCGGCAGGCCUAACACAUGCAAGUCGGGCGAGUGGCGGACGGGUGAGUAAUGUAUGGGGAUCUGCCUGAUGGCGGGGGAUUACUACUGGAAACGGUAGCUAAUACCGCAUACCAUCAGAUGAACCCCUAGGUGAUUAGCUUGUAGGUGAGGUAACGGCUCACCUAGGCGGCGCUCCCUAGCUGGUCUGAGAGGGUGAUCAGCGACACUGGGACUGAGACACGGCCCAGACGCACACGGGAGGCAGCAGUGGGGAAUAUUGCGCAAUGGGCGCAAGCCUGAUACAGCAAUGCCGCGUGUAUGAAGAAGGCCUUAGGGUUGUAAAGUACUUUCAGCGGGGAGGCGUUGCCCGCAGAAGAAGCACCGGCUAACUCCGUGCCAGCAGCCGCGGUAAUAC
rnacentral:rRNA from 1 species